UCAACUCCCAUUUUUUUCCAAAGCGAAAAGUUGAUCUUAAAGGAUAUUUGGUGGAAUCCAGACGGAUACAAAACGUUUCAUGUAACGAGAUUUGCACAUUAACUCUGCCAGGUGCUGGCCAAAUCGGGAGGAAAUGGCGAUUUGAUCACCGCGCCCCCUAGCGUCCAUUCGGGGGAUAAACUGCAUCUGGCAACCGGAAAGUCGUGAUCGGAAAGGUAAAGUCUUUCUACAAUCUAAAUAACCCUGGAAGGUGUUUCACAGAUGGAACACCACCACCUGGAAGUUCCCCUCCAAGUCACUCACCAUCCUGACUUGGAAAUACAUCGCUGUUCCUUCAGUGGCACUGGGUCAAAAUCCUGGAACUCCCUUCCUAACAGCACUGUGGAUG